ACGGAAGGCAGCAGUGAGGAAUAUUGGUCAAUGGGCGUAAGCCUGAACCAGCCAAGUAGCGUGAGGGAUGACUGCCCUACGGGUUGUAAACCUCUUUUGUUUGGGAAUAAAUGAGACUACGUGUAGUCUUUUGCAUGUACCUUUCGAAUAAGCAUCGGCUAAUUCCGUGCCAGCAGCCGCGGUAAUACGGAAGAUGCGAGCGUUAUCCGGAUUUAUUGGGUUUAAAGGGAGCGUAGGCGGCCUUUUAAGUCUGCGGUCAAAUGUCAGGGCCCAACCUUGGCAUGCCGUGGAUACUGAUGGGCUUGAAUACACACAAGGAAGGUGGAAUUCGUCGUGUAGCGGUGAAAUGCUUAGAUAUGACGAAGAACUCCGAUUGCGAAGGCAGCCUUCUGGGGUGUUACUGACGCUGAGGCUCGAAAGCGCGGGUAUCAAACAGGAUUAGAUACCCUGGUA
rnacentral:rRNA from 1 species